rnacentral:rRNA from 1 species
UACGAAGGGGGCUAGCGUUGUUCGGAAUUACUGGGCGUAAAGCGUGCGCAGGCGGCUUCUCAAGUCAGGGGUGAAAGCCCAGAGCUCAACUCUGGAAUUGCCUUUGAGACUGAGUGGCUUGAGUACGAGAGAGGUGAGUGGAAUUCCCAGUGUAGAGGUGAAAUUCGUAGAUAUUGGGAAGAACACAGGUGGCGAAGGCGGCUCACUGGCUCGUAACUGACGCUCAUGCACGACAGCGUGGGGAUCAAACAGG